CCUCUCCACAGUCACUGAGCACACAGGUCCUCACCAUGGGAUGGAGCUGGAUCAUUCUCUUCCUGGUGACAGCAGCUACAGGUGUCCACUCCCAGGUCAAGCUGGAGCAGUCUGGGGCUGAGCUGGUGAAAUCUGGGUCCUCUAUGAAGUUGUCCUGCAAGGCUUCAGGCUACACCUUCACUAGCUACUAUAUCAGCUGGCUGAAGCAGAAAUCUGGACAGGGCCUGGAGUGGAUUGGAAAUAUUGGUUGUGGAGGUGGUGGUACUUACUAUAAUUCAAAGUUCCAGGGAAAAGCCACACUGACUGUAGACACAUACUCCAGCACAGUGUACAUGGAGCUCAGCAGCCUGACAUCUGAGGACUCUGCAGUCUAUUACUGUGCAAGACACACAGUGUUGUAA